GAUCUCUGGCCAGCCCACCACAUAGCUUGCGACCCCGGUUCUUGCCACUAACGCGCCACCUCCUAGUUCAACAUGAAGUAAUGCAUGGUAAGUGCUCGAUAAAUUGUCAGGGUGGGCUAAUGAGUGUCUUUAUAGCGGUUGGGCCUACUAGCAUCGAUGAAGUAUGUGUCAAGAAGAGCGGCUGCGUCUGCGUGACUGGGUUGUUAGCACUGUCUUCUAGAUGCAAUGCACCUCUGGUUUCUUCCUAUCUCACCAAUGGAUUCAUUUGGGCUAAGAAAAUGUGCUCUUUUUGAAUCUGUGAUGCCACCACUUUCUGCUAUGAAGUAGUGAUUCUUACAUGAUUUCCAAUUUUCCAUACAUCAAACUCCGCUUUACUGUGAUGUUUAAUUAAUGUAGAUGCAAAUUUUUAGAAAUAUCAAGGAUUAGGUGAUGCUUAUUUAGGCAUGAAACCUUUAUCUUGCCAACUUUCUAUACAUAGGCGACAUCUCCGACCUUUUCUACUUAUAGGGAUGAUGAUGGUUCUGAAACUAUAAUCAUAUAUUUAUUAAGUUCUAUUUUUGCUUCUUGUGCUCAUGUUUCUAUCCUAAAUUCCUAAUCCAAGUAACUGGUUCUUUUUAUUUUAUUGAUCGGGUACUUCAUGGCAGUGCCGUGGACAACGUCACAAUAACUACAUUGAUGGUCCAAGCCCCAGCUCACAAAAUCAUUUAUAGUUGGGUUGUGAGCACCUCAAUAACUCAACAUCAAAUGUAAUUGAUGUGUAGCCGCAUAUAUUCUUUCUAUAAUCUAUUUUGGCUACCAUCAUUUUUAGUUGGACCAUGAGCACCUCAACCACUCAACAUCAUCUAUACCAUGAUUUUAGCAAAGAGUUAUUUAUGUUUAUCAUUGCCUAUGCUUCUUUUUUUUUUCUCAUGCAUGGCACUUAAUAUAUUGUCUUACAGUUUAACACAACUUAGUGGAAAAGUAUGUCUUCUAUUUAUGUACUCUUCCUCUCAGUCAUCAAUUUGCUCACAGAUAUACAUGUUUAUGUAUGUGUCUUCUGUCUCUGAUCUUCAUGUCGUUAUGUUAGUUUUCUCUCCGAGUUGAUUGUUCGUCCUUGACAAAAUUUGUCACAUUAACAAAAGGCUCCAAGCGGUGUCAUGGUCAGGAACCUAUUUUCCAGGCAGCAGGAGAUGGUCAGGUAAUCAACCAUAUCAUCGAUUGUGUUUUUUGGGGUUUGUGGCAAAGUAAUGCUCUUCUUUUCAAAUGUAUGGACUAAUAGGAGUCAUAAGUUGUACCUCAUUUCUGAUACAAAACUGAACUGGUCAUUGGUUAGGUGAGACAUGCCAUGUGUCUGGACUUCGGUGACAAGUCUGAAUGAAUAUAUUAAUUUGAGCAAGUAUUCAGUCCAUAUACUUGCAUUCUUGAUAUUUGAUUUUUAUUUUCUCAACUAUAUGGACGUGUUAGUUCUUUAAAGAUCUCUCAGCUAUAAAAUUGUUCUAGGCUCCUCCGCAAAUUUUUUUGUUCUAGGCUACUUAGGAUCUGACAAAUACUACAACAUAUACACACUGAAUUAUAUCCUUCCAUGUUAUUUCUGUUCCAUCCACUUCCAUUGUUGCAGGAAUCUUUUUGCGUUUGAUAUUAUAUGGCAGAAUCUAUGUGUGCUAUUUCUGCUGAAUUUGAUACCCCAUCUGUGGCUUAUUUCUCUAAUAUUUGCAUUCAAGGCUAUGCUAAAUCGAGUGAUGCUGCCAUUGAGUCGACCAUUUUGUUCUGGUUUACUUACAAGAUGAUACAAUGAUUUAAAUAGACGAUGAAAAUUUAUCUGAGUUGAAGACCUCUCAAAGAAAGUUCUUAGCGGUUUCUUCAUGGGGAAUGACAUUUGAGAGUUUGUGUAAGCGACUUAAUAAAAGAUAAACUACACAAUUUGACCAAGCACGUUGAGGAAGAUAAAAACAGGAAAAGGAAUUUGUGUAUGAUUAGACUGCCUCGAGUGAUUGCUCCCCUUCAAAGAUCUGAGCAUUGAGACGUCCUUGCACUCAUGCACCUCCUGGAAGAGGACAACCUGAGGUGGUCUGCCAUGGGCGCCUAGCGAGGCACAAUGUUUGGGCGCUUCACCGUGGCUUCUAGGGGGUGGCUAAGUCGUCGGCGUCGGGCAGUGGUGUUGCCGUUCGCAUAAGCAAGCUACAUGGCGUCAAGAAGAAACCGUGUUGCAUACUGCCAAGUUCUAGAAACGGGGUGACGCUUGCGUAGUUAUUUGGCGUAAAGGAGACCAAGGGCACAUCAGAAGGUUUAGUAUGCAUCAUAUUGUUAGGGCAAUGUUUUGAACACGACAGGAACACUUGGCUUAUUUGGUACCAUUGUUCUUCUUCCAAGGACUGCGAUAACAUCUUUUCUUCACAUAUGAGAGGAAGACAUACCAAAGUAGCCUUGGUAAUAACAAGCAGGUUGAGCUCAUUGAUAUGGGUGCUAUAAGUAGUGAGCCUGCUGCAGAGGACAAUAUUCAAAUGGCAUCAGGUUAA